UUUGCAUGGGCUUAACCUUGCCCCUAACGGUCUAAAGUAGAUAUUUUAACCUUGCCACCAGCAUUGUAGUGGGGUAUAAAAGUUGAGAAAAAGAGUCUGAAAGUGCCUAUGCUCAGUUAAUUGGGAAAACAACCAGUUCCCCACGGUAUCAUCUACCCCAUUUGCCAAAAGAGACAAGUCUUGUAUGUUUCAAUCAGAAAAGUGCAACUCCAGUAAUGUGGCUGAGACAUUUACUUUGAAAAGGAAAAAUCUUAUUUCCAAGGUCAAUCUGAGGCUUCCUGGGUUCAGACUAAAAUACUUUGUGGGGCCAAAGGAAUAUUUACUGGGAUCUAGGGAGCAGGGAGUGAAUGUGAAGUUUGAACAUAUUUCAAGUCAGCCUGGGUGGUCUUUCUCGUUUUAUAUAUUUGUGUCUCCUCAGACAACCUUUUUUUUUUUUUUCCUGAGAAAUUGGAAGUGAAGAAAAUGAUGACAUUUUUUGCUAGUACAUUUCACUUGGGUCAUUUCCUGCACUGAACCAAAAAACCUGCAUUAUUUACAUCCUUUCCAGAAUGCGUUUCUUUCCAGUGCAUCAUAUGAAACUAGGUCAAAUUUUGCCCAUGGGCUGCCACUUCUCCUGUGUUAAACUAGAAGGAAUUUCUGUAUAAAGCAACGGUUUGCUUUAUGUGACCUUUGACAGUGGGAGUGUUGGGAGAAUGACAUUAUAUGUUGUAGGGCUAAUGCUAGAUGGAGCUUUGUAGGCAGUUGUAAAUUAAACAGCAGCAUUUUACAAAUGAGCUCCAUAAUGAGCAGGUGAUUGGAAGAUGCUGCAGGUUAACAUCUGAAUAGAGAAACUACCACCUAGCCCAGGAAUGGCAGUAAAAGGUUAAAAGAAAUAUUCAAUAUUAUCAAUCAUAUUUCAAAAAAGAGAGAACUUCUUACAGCUGCCAGAGGAGCUAGGGAGAAUUAAUGUGUCUGUGUCAAAAAGACUGAGAACAAGUGAAACAGGACAAUAGUGAUUGCCAGAAUCUUACUUGCCUGGAGAGAUAUUAUUGGAUAACCAGUUAACUAGACAGGAGCUGAGAAUCCUCUUGCAGAUGCUACGGAGCAGCUUUCAGAUACGGGAAUGUACAAGGACCCCCAUCAUCUUGUCCUCUCUAGGUUGUCUGAGUUGCUCAUUAAACCAGGGAAACCUCCAGUGAGGUGUGAUGACCUGAAAACAGACAGGAGCUAAAGAAUCAAUGUUUUAAGUGAAACAACAAUUAUAAAAACAUCUACAGCUCCUUCCAUGCAAUCAGGUAAAUUACCAGGAGUGGCGUAAAACACCUAAAUUGGAGAAAAAGUGGAGGAAGGGGGAGUGCAGGGAAAAGAAGUUCCCUUGGGAGAUAUCCAAUAGGAUGCUUAGUCUGGGUAAAGGGCAAAAGGUUAAGUGAAAAUGAGAUGAAGGAAUGAUCAGAUAUAGUCAGAUCAGAGACAGUUAAAUAAAGGAAUGUGCUAAGCUAAGAUAAAUGUGAAGAAACAUGUCUGUGCUGAGUGUGUUGGUGUAGCUGUUCUUCAGCAGUUCAGGAACCUGAGAGGAGGAAAUCCCUGUUCCCAAUCCAUAUCACUCCUAGCUGAAGCACUUCCCAGCAAAGAAACAGAAGGGCUAAGGACACAGGUUCGAGAUUCCUCUCUGCUACUCCCAACAGUGUAAAAGGAUAUUAAAAUGCUUCUAAUUACAUCUACACCUUUUGCAGGUCCCUAUUUACUGCUGGUGUGAUAGAAAUCAUUCUUAGUGAUGAGAAAGGAAGCCAGGCCUGUGCUUCCUUUGUCGGUGGUUUUGGACAAUGAGAAAGAUGCUAUUUAAAGAAUGUGAAAACAGAAGUACUGGUAAUUACUCAAAAGCUACAAAUGCUGGUUGCUACCUUUUUUAUGGGUCGGAAAGCAUGGGUUUCCAUAACAACAGACAACAUUGGGUUUAAAGAGGUGCAUAAUGUAACAAAUAAAUGCUUCAGACUAUGUAAAACUUCAUUAAAUAUUUCGGUAAAUCUCCAUUCUUAGCCUACUCAACAAAAAUGGCCUGGAUAACAGAUGGCACCAGAAAAGCUCAAGUACCUGUACUGACCAGGUCUGGAAAGGACCACAAGAAUUUUGUCCAAAAGCCUUUGGUGGUUUAUAGCUUUUAAAUGUUUCUAAGAAUGGCCUUAAAUUUCUAAACCCCAAGAAGAAAGUUCAAAUUCUUAGACACAUAAUUUAGAGGUUAAUACUUUUUGUGUUUCCUCUGGAGCUUAUUUAACAUAUAGAUGUAAUAUUUAACAUAUUUAACAAUUAGAACUGGGAAUUAUAAAGUGGAGCUUUAACCUGUCUGCUAGAUGCUAAUACCCAAACUAGAUUUCUGAAAAGAAAUUUUGGUGCUCUCAACAAUUUUGGUGUUACAACAAUUUGAGGGGAGAAAUCGGUGUGUGUUCUUUUCAGAGUUUGAUUAGUCACAGAAUUCACUAAAUCUAGCUGAACUUAUCUUUAAGACUAACACAGAUCCCACAUAUACUUAUGUCACCCCUAAGCCACAAUGAAAGAAGCAUAAGUCUGUAAGUGAGGAGUUUCAAAUGAAAGAGGUGGUUGAAGCAUUUUAACUUUAUUCAAUCAAGGUCAGUUUUCCUCUGAAUUAUACCUGUUUCCUUGUCUAGCAUUUCAGGUACCUUCCAAGUAUGUAUCAACAGAGUUUGUAAGUGGCAUUCAACAACGAAGAAGAAAGCAAGCUGCUCACAAAACUCCCCUCUUCUGCAUGUGAUAAAAAAUAGAGUUCCACAGGAAGAGAUAAAAGAGUGUUUGGGUCUCAGUCAUCUGUGCCUAUGGGAAAGGUGUGGUGGAGAGGCCAGCAGCUCCGGAAACAGAGAUAGCAGGGUGUAAAUCUGCAGCACGGCUCUACAUGCACUGAAGACACACCAGUAAUGUAUUUGGAAGGAGAAUCAGUUCCUUUGCUUUAUGGAGCACUGAUGACUGACCAUGACUACAGCUGGUGGAGGAUGUCAGACUGAUAUGCAGUUGCUCUUACUCUACCAGAGUGCCCAGCUCGAGUGUCUUCCUCAUAUUAAAUCAAGCUUCAGAUGUCAGAUCAAUGAAGUAUUUCCCCCAAAUCAGAUUGAUCCUCAUCAAAAUUAGGAGAGAAUGAAACAGUAUGGGAGACAUCUGAAAUAUCAUCAAAAUCAAGAUGAAAGAAAAUAAAGAUCGUAAAUUAACUAUAAAGACCAUUAGCACUCAUGAAAUGUAAUGCAAGGUAAAAGAUCACACUGAAACAAAAAUUAAAGAGGUACACAGAGAGAGCUCAUUACCUUACUUGAUUUUCCCUUUUAUGGAUUAGAUUUUACACUUUUAGAAGUUUGAGUGGUUUUUUCCCAGUCAGAGCAUAAGUUUUAUAACUCACCUAGACCCAGAAUUUUUAUUCUGUAGGCAACUUCAGAGUCCCACACAUUAAAUAUGUGACAUAUCAUUCCACUACCGUGGAGCAGUUUGCCUCUGAGAACAUAGCAGAGAUUAGAGAGCUCAGAACUAACAUAUUCCUCAAACCUGAGUUUAACAUGAAUCUUAUGGAUGAUGCUGAAUUGCAACUGCUUCGAAUUCAAAGACAGUUGUAAUGUCUUUACUAUCUCCAUCCUGUAUUUGACAGUAGAGCUCCAUGUGCUUGGCGAUUUUGCUACAGCUGUUCUUUGAAGGGUAAAUUCCACUGAACAGGCAAUCUGUGAAAGAAAGCUAAUAAAAACACAACACCUGUUUGGCUGUGCAAGGAAGCACACAGCGCCUGCUGUGCUUACAGCAGCAACAGAAAAAAAAACCUAUUGUCUUUGCAAAAAUAACUAGCUUAUUUUUGAACCAGAGAUGAUUCUUUCGUAUCCUGACUUAAAAUACAACUUAUAACUUGGAUUUGAUUUUUUUUUUUUUUAAUAACAGUAGAAGUUUUUCUAAACUAUUCAGAAGAAUGAUACCAGGUUUGGCUCCAACCCAGCAAAGCACAUGUUUAACCUUCUGCAUGUCACUAGUUUCUGAAAUCAGUGGGACUGCUUGCAGCCUGAAAGUAAAUAAUGUGCUUCAGUGCUCUACCACAAUAAGACCUUUACAAUUGUUUUACUCUGUACAGAUAAUUCUAGGAACUCUCACAGAUCGUCUGUGACUUUCACAUAUGAUAAAGAAUCUCUACUAUAGGUAGGAGGAAACCUUGCUACACAUUUCUUUUUAUUGCUUUAUAGCCUUGUGUCCUAUUUCUUUGCCAAUCUGAUACCAGAAUUUAAAUCUUGUUGGAGAUUAGUUAUAAGCAGAGGGAGUUAAAUGCAUAUACAAAAAGGAGGCCUUUCUUGGCAAACAAAGAAAGGAAAACAGACAUAUAUAAUAAAGUAAUGGCACAUAUAUAAAUUAUAUCUGAAACAAAUAAAGGGUUCAUUUAGCUCUGAUGCUGAAAAAAAAAAAAAGGUUUGUUUGUCUAUUUUUAACCUGCAAGGAGCAAAGGACUUUUAUCUUUGCAAGACUGUCUUUGAAGAGACUAUUUGGGGUACAGAAUUUCAUUAAUGAAAAUUAUGUUAAAUGCUUUUUUUGACCUGCAAACCUGGAACAUACACUUAAGACAACCAGCACUGCUGGAAGCAAGUGGCCUGACUGCAUGAGGACUGAUUAUUAACAUCUUGACUGCAAGUGCUUGGAAUUACUGUAAAUACCUUUGAGACAUCAGGAGCUAUACUACCAAGGUUGACAGUUUUACGAAAUAAUUAUGGCUAUUGUCUCUGGGAGAAUAUUGUUGGAAUUUGAGUAGACUCAAUCUGAAAAGCACAAGCUUGUAAGGAACUUUUGAAAAAGAAAGAAAAAUAAAAUUGAUUCCCCCCCCAAAUAUAUUUUUCUGGCUUGCUCAGGCACCAUCUAACAAAUGGCAUCACUUUAGUAAGAAAUAUUAGCCCUAGUCUUCUGAAUACCAAUCCAUCUUUUUUUGUGCAAUGAAAAAUAAAGAUUCAGCUCACCUACUUGUUGCUGGCUGAAGAGCCCUCUCUUACAAUCAGUUUCUGAUGAAACCUAUUAUGUGCAUUUAAGGUGAGAAACUACUGCCUUCACCGUGGAUGAAAAACAACUCUCACCUUUACCUCAGGAUGCUAAAGCGGUUUAUGAAAUAAUGCUUGUGCUAUCAGCCUGAAAAAUAAAGCUUAACCCAAAACACCCUCCCCUCCCUCCCCUUAGAUAUACAGCAAAGUUUCAUGGAGCUUCACAAUGAAGAAAUGUGAGCAGACUGCUGCUGAGCUUGGCUGAAAUUAUACCUAUGGUCUCAUUUUUUUCAGUCACACCUUCAUCCACACAUUAGUUCCUACAUUACUCCUGUCAAGCUGUGCUUAAUACUUGCCCCAGGUGAAAGCCCUGACUCCUCCUUACCUACAGUGUCAUUACACAGGUGGCAAAGUAGCAAGUCUUUAACAAAGCUGAGCUUAAUUUAUCGACCUGAAUCUGGUGGGCAGGGUUGCCGUUUCAGGGUGUAAAUACCCCUGCCCCCUUGCAUCUGAGAAAAUCACUGCUUUGCUGACAGAAUGAGGAAAUAUUAGUGAAGAGAAUAUUGCCUGAAUAUGCUGAUGAAAAUUAAACUAGUGUUCAUGGUAUUUUGUCUAGCCGAUGUUUGAUUUGUCUGUUUCACUCUGCAUCCUUUCUCAGGGAACAACACUGAAGGUUUAUGCUCACUAAUCUCUCCAUCCACAUAGCUUUUUAAGACAGAGAGAUGCUUCGAAUUCACUAUGAGAGGUAAAAAUCUAAUACCUAGCACUCACAUCUACCUCUGAGUUCAGUGAUGUAUUUCAGCCCUGCGCAUCUGACAUGCAGUAAAAUAUCAACAUCUUACAGUACCAGAUACUAAUUAGAAAAAGAAAUGCGUUAGAUGUCAGGCCUCAAGAAAGCAAACUUAAAAUUCUGACAGCAGCUGGAGAAUGAUAGCCAUAAUCAAGCAUUGUCCCUGCUUAGAUCUGUGCCAAACAACCUCGCUUACUUCCAGCUAAUUCUCCAUCAGAAACGAUAUUUCUUUACGAUUCCAAAGAAACAUGUUGUCAGUUCCCACCUGCUGGCAUUGCUAGAAAUAAAACCACAGUUGAUCGGAUGCAAUAGGUCAGCAGAAUAGUGCAUUGAACUGUUUGUGCUUCUGAGCUGUGAUACAGGGGAUUCGCUAACAUUUAUUAACCCUUUCUCAAAUCUUGGUGGUUGUUAUGCUUUCAUAAAGCAAUAAGGUUUCAAAAAUGGAAACACAUCCUUUUAGCAAUUUUGAAAGAAGCAAAAUUUGGGCUUGGUGCCAGGCUAAAAGUUCGAUAUCAUUUGAAAAACAAAAUACAUUAGAAAAGAAAGAAAAUGCAGAUGUCAGUCUAGUGACACAGAGUAAUCUAUUUGCUCAGCGCUUGUAUUUUCCUACCAAUUUAGUAUUUUUCAAAAAGGACAAUAAAAGAAUUGUGCUCACUGCUAAUUAAUGACAAGCUGGUAAAAGCAUCUAUCCAUUGUUCCAUUUAUUUCUUCAUUUCCAGCAGUUAACAGCCCUGUUCUGAAAUGAAUCAAUGUCGUUUACACAAUGCUGUCACCCCUAUUGUUUCUUUAUCAUCCUUGCAUUUUCAUAAAUCGGAGGUGUUAAUCCCUUAAUGGCUUCUUUCAGAGCUCUAAAAUGUAUGCAAAAUGGUAAUCCAUCCCCUAAACAAUUCACAUUUACGCAGGCACCCUCUUAAAUGUGUUUACUAUUAAAAUGAAUCCUUUGUUUGGAUCUAACGCUAUCUGUUUGUUUUCUAAACACUGAA